rnacentral:lncRNA from 1 species
CCAUCAAAUUUUAUGUAUAUAUUUUCCAUCUCAGACUACUCAUUGCACUACAACUCAGUCAAUAGUGUUUGAGAAUAACAUGGUUUCCAAACAUUUUUAUUAGAUUACAGACGAUCAAAUGGUUGCAGAAUCCAAACAAGUCCAGAUUAGAUUUGCAUUCAACCCCUCUCAUCAUCCUCUGCAUUUAUUACAACAGCCUCUCCCACAACAUAUGGAGAGAACAGGCGAGUUAACCACUCGACUAAACAACCCAAAAGGCAAACCAAACCAAACCAAACCAAACCAGAGUAGUCCAUUCACUUUGACAAGUUAAAAAGGUUUAGAGCUUGGAAGAAGCUGGUUUAUCAAGAAACCAAACAAGCUCCUCUUCAGCAGACACAGAACCCGCAGGUAUGUUCAUUAUUCUUUCUGUUUUAUUUUAAUUGUCGUUGAAUAAUUUUAAUUUCUUUUAUGAUAAGUCUCGUGUUAUAUUUUCAAUGUGUAUGUUUUCUAGUUUUCCACUUUUAUCUCUAUUUUUAGUUUAUUAACUAAUUAAUAAAGUCAAAUAAAACACUUUAUUAAUUAGGAAUAUAGAAAAUUUAAAGAUUUUCUUAAUUUACGUGAAUAAACCUUAAACAAUACCCCUUCCAUUUUGUUUUGUAAAUUGUCUUAGAAAUUUUGUUUUGGGUCAAAAUAAUUCUAAACAACUUAUGAUAACUAUUGGUUUUAUCUACCCUCAAAUUUAAAGCAUUUUCUAGAGUUAAUAGUUUUAAGGAGGAUAUUAAAUUAACGAAGAAUAAUAAUAAUAUAUACAUUAUCUUAACUGUUUUAAAUUGUGUGAAAUCCACUAAAACGACUUGCAAAACAAGAUAGAGGGAAUAGAUAAAAUGAAAUGAAAAGAGUAAUAAAUUUUUGGCCGACAAAAAAAUUAUGAUAAAUAAAUAUAUAAUUCAAUAUUUAAAUGGUUUUUAGUUUAUGUUAAAAAAAAACUAUUUUUAUCCUUCUUUUCUAUUUUCAUCACCAUUUCUUUUGUUUUUACUAACAGAUCUCGGCUUUACACAAACUACCAUCAAAUUUUAUGUAUAUAUUUUCCAUCUCAGACUACUCAUUGCACUACAACUCAGUCAAUAGUGUUUGAGAAUAACAUGGUUUCCAAACAUUUUUAUUAGAUUACAGACGAUCAAAUGGUUGCAGAAUCCAAACAAGUCCAGAUUAGAUUUGCAUUCAACCCCUCUCAUCAUCCUCUGCAUUUAUUACAACAGCCUCUCCCACAACAUAUGGAGAGAACAGGCGAGUUAACCACUCGACUAAACAACCCAAAAGGCAAACCAAACCAAACCAAACCAAACCAGAGUAGUCCAUUCACUUUGACAAGUUAAAAAGGUUUAGAGCUUGGAAGAAGCUGGUUUAUCAAGAAACCAAACAAGCUCCUCUUCAGCAGACACAGAACCCGCAGGUACACUCCCAGUCUUGUUCAGAGCCAUCUGCACAGGCUCGGCUUUCCCAGAACCGCAGACCACUAGAGCCACAUGCGCAGAGGAGUUGAUAACCGGGAACGUGAAUGUGAUUCUCUCAGAUGGAGGCUUUGGAGAGUCGGUGA